CCUACGGGCGGCUGCAGUGAGGAAUAUUGGUCAAUGGGCGUAAGCCUGAACCAGCCAAGUCGCGUGAGGGAUGAAGGUUCUAUGGAUCGUAAACCUCUUUUAUAAGGGAAUAAAGUGUGGGACGUGUCCGAUUUUGUAUGUACCUUAUGAAUAAGGAUAGGCUAACUCCGUGCCAGCAGCCGCGGUAAUACGGAGGAUCCGAGCGUUAUCCGGAUUUAUUGGGUUUAAAGGGUGCGUAGGCGGCCUUUUAAGUCAGCGGUGCAAGUCUGUGGCUCAACCCUACAAUUGCCGUUGAAACUGGGGGUCUUGAGUAUGUUUGAGGCAGGCGUCAUGCGUGGUGUAGCGGUGAAAUGCUUAGCUAUCACGCAGAACCCCGAUUGCGAAUGCAGCCUGCCAAGCCAUGACUGACGCUGAUGCACGAAAGCGUGGGGAUCAAACAGGAUUAGCUACCCGGGUAGUC
rnacentral:rRNA from 1 species